UACAGAGGUCUCAAGCGUUGUUCGGAAUUACUGGGCGUAAAGGGCUCGUAGGCGGCCAACUAAGUCAGACGUGAAAUCCCUCGGCUUAACCGGGGAACUGCGUCUGAUACUGGAUGGCUAGAGGUUGGGAGAGGGAUGCGGAAUUCCAGGUGUAGCGGUGAAAUGCGUAGAUAUCUGGAGGAAUACCGGUGGCGAAGGCGGCGACCUGGGUAGAUACUGACGCUGAGGCGCGAAAGCGUGGGGAGCAAACAGG
rnacentral:rRNA from 1 species